rnacentral:lncRNA from 1 species
CAUAUGUGAAAGUUAUGGUUGUUUUAAUAACGGACUCCGAAUUAGAGGACAAAACGGUGCGAAAGUGGGAAAAAAUUUCGGCAGUGGCUAGAAAUUGAUGGAAACGGUGGGGAAAAACACACGAACUGGACUCUAACAAGACCUAACCAGCAACAAGACAUCGACUAGGACACAAACUCAACACUGCGGACUCUAAGACUAAAAUAUGCAAAGGCUAUGGCUUGAAAGGUUUGUAGGACAGGAAAACGAUAUGACACUGGACUUAUGGGACGAACACAAGAACACUCAAAACUAAGGAUAGAUGUGAAUCUAACGAUAUACCUAAAGCUUUGAUUACCACUUGAUGAGAACAAGGGUGGCCUGAUCUUCCGAAAGGUUCUAGUAACUCUCGAUUUGGUGGAGACGAGACACAAAUCGAUUUGGCUUUCGAACAACCCGAUCCGAAACCCUGCAUUUUUUUUAUUUUUUUUAUAUUUUUCUUUUACCUAGGAGCACUAAAAAGUAACCACAAAAAAUUUGUGCUUAAACAAGUGAAAGACGUGGCCUGCAGAAUUUUCUGAAGAUUGCGAAAAAUGUGAAAAAACUUCAUGAGGAGAAAACUCAAACUUUGGAGGCAAAUUUUAAGAUAAAAUUAUCGAACCCGCUAAAGUCACAUACAGACAGAUCUGAAAUUUUUUUAUGAUCGAAUUUGAUAUAGGUAACGUUGAAAUCAGAGUUUGUAUGUGAAAGUUAUGGUUUGUUUACAAAUGCACUCCGAAAUAGAGGAAAAACGGUCCAGAAGUGGGAAAAAUUUGCGGCGCUGGCUAGAAAUUGAUGAAAAUAGUGGGGAAAAACACACGAACAGGACUCUAACAAGACCCAACCAGCAACAAGACCUCGACCAGGACACAAACUCAACACUGCGGACUCUGAAACUGAAAUAUGCAAAAGCUACGGCGCGGAAGGGAUGUAGGACAAGAAAACGAUAUGGCACUAGACUUAUGGGACGAACACAAGAACACUCGAAACUAAGGGUAGAUGUGAACCUAACGGUAUACCUGAAGCUUUGAUUACCACUUGAUGAGAACAAGGGUGGCCCGAUCUUCCGAAAGGUUCUGGUAACUCUCGAUUUAGUGGAGACGAGACACAAAUCGAUCCGGCUUCAGAACAACACGAUCCAAAACCCUACAAUUUUUUUUAUUUUUUUUGAUAUUUUAUUUUACUUAGGAGCACUAAAGAAGUAACCACGGAAAAUUUGAGCUUAAACAAGUGAAAGACAUGGCCUGCGGAAUUUUCUGAAGAUUGCGAAAAAUGUGAAAAAAACUUCACGAGGUUAAAACUCAAACUUCGGAGGCGAAUUUGGAGAUUCUAAAAUUUUCAAGCCCGCUAGUACUAGGGACAGGCAGAUCCAAAAAUUUUUCUGAUCGAUUUUGAUAUAUAGAACGUUGAAAUCAGAGUUCGUUGCGAAAGUUGUGGCUGUUUUAUGAACAGACUCCAAAUUAGAGGACAAAACGGUCUGAAAGUGGGAAAAAAUUGUGGCGGUGGCUAGAAAUUGAUGGAAACGGUGGGAAAAAACACACGAACUAGACUCUAACAAGACCUAACCAGCAACAAGACCUCAACUAGGACACAAACUCAACACCGCGGACUCUGAAACUGAAAUAUGAAAAGGCUAUGGCACGGAAGGGUUGUAGAACAGGAAAACAAUAUGGCACUAUACUUAUGGGACAAACACAAGAACACUCAAAACUAAGAGUAGAUGUGAACCUAACGGUAUACCUAAAGCUUUGAUUACCACUUGAUGAGAACAAGGGUGACCCGAUCUUCCGAAAGGUUCUAGUAACUCUCGAUUUGGUGGAGACGAGACACAAAUCGAUUUGGCUUUCGAACAACACGAUCCGAAACCCUGCAUUUUUUUAUUUUUUUUAUAUUUUUCUUUUACCUAGGAGCACUAAAAAGUAACCACAAAAAAUUUGUGCUUAAACAAGUGAAAGACGUGGCCUGCAGAAUUUUCUAAAGAUUGCGAAAAAUGUGAAAAAACUUCAUGAGGAGAAAACUCAAACUUUGGAGGCAAAUUUCAAGAUAAAAUUAUCAAACCCGCUAAAGUCACAGACAGACAGAUCUGAAAUUUUUUUAUGCUCGAAUUUGAUAUAGGUAACGUUGAAAUCAGAGUUUGUAUGUGAAAGUUAUGGUUUGUUUACAAAUGCACUUCGAAAUACAGGAAAAAACGGUCCACAAGUGGGAAAAAUUUGCGGCGCUGGCUAGAAAUUGAUGGAAACGGUGGGGAAAACACACGAACUGGACUCUAACAAGACCUAACCAGCAACAAGACCUCGACCAGGACACAAACUCAACACUGCGGACUCUGAAACUGAAAUAUGCAAAGGUUAUGGCGCGGAAGGGAUGUAGGACAAGAAAACGAUAUGGCACUGGACUUAUGGGACGAACACAAGAACACUCAAAACUAAGGGUAGACGUGAACCUAACGGUAUACCUGAAGCUUUGAUUACCACUUGAUGAGAACAAGGGUGGCCCGAUCUUUCGAAAGGUUCUGGUAACUCUCGAUUUAGUGGAGACGAGAUACAAAUCGAUCCGGCUUCGGAACAACACGAUCCGAAACCCUGCAAUUUUUUUUAUUUUUUUGAUAUUUUAUUUUACUUAGGAGCACUAAAGAAGUAACCACAAAAAAUUUGAGCUUAAACAAGUGAAAGACAUGGCCUGCGGAAUUUUCUGAAGAUUGCGAAAAAUAUGAAAAAAACUUCACGAGGUUAAAACUCAAACUUCGGAGGCGAAUUUGGAGAUUCUAAAAUUUUCAAGCCCGCUAGUACUAGGGACAGGCAGAUCCAAAAAUUUUUCUGAUCGAUUUUGAUAUAUAGAACGUUGAAUUCAGAGUUCGUAUGCGAAAGUUGUAGCUGUUUUAUGAACAGACUCCAAAUUAGAGGACAAAAUGGUCUGAAAGUGGGAAAAAUUUGUGGCGGUGGCUAGAAAUUGAUAGAAACGGUGGGAAAAACACACGAACUGGACUCUAACAAGACCUAACCAGCAACAAGACCUCAACUAGGACACAAACUCAACACCGCGGACUCUAAAACUGAAAUAUGCAAAGGCUAUGGCGCGGAAGGGUUGUAGGACAGGAAAACAAUAUGGCACUAUACUUAUGGGACAAACACAAGAACACUCGAAACUAAGAGUAGAUGUGAACCUAACGGUAUACCUAAAGCUUUGAUUACCACUUGAUGAGAAGAAGGGUGGCCCGAUCUUCCGAAAGGUUCUAGUAACUCUCGAUUUGGUGGAGACGAGACACAAAUCGAUCCGGCUUGCGAACAACACGAUCCGAAACCCUGCAAUUUUAUUUUAUUUUUUCGAUAUUUUUCUUUUACUUAGGAGCACUGAAUAAGUAACCAUAGAAAAUUUGAGCUUAAACAAGUGAAAUACGUGGCCUGCGGAAUUUUUUGAAGAUUGCAAAAAAUGUGAAAAAACAUCACGAGGUGAAAACUCAAACUUCGGAGGCAAAUUUAGAGAUUCUAAAAUUUUCAAACCUGCCAAUGGAAGGAACAGACAGAUCAAAAAAAAAAAAUUAGAUCGAUUUUGCUAUAUGGAACGUUGAAAUCGGAGUUCAUAUGUGAAAGUUAUGGUUGUUUUAAUAACGGACUCCGAAUUAGAGGACAAAACGGUGCGAAAGUGGGAAAAAAUUUCGGCAGUGGCUAGAAAUUGAUGGAAACGGUGGGGAAAAACACACGAACUGGACUCUAACAAGACCUAACCAGCAACAAGACAUCGACUAGGACACAAACUCAACACUGCGGACUCUAAGACUAAAAUAUGCAAAGGCUAUGGCUUGAAAGGUUUGUAGGACAGGAAAACGAUAUGACACUGGACUUAUGGGACGAACACAAGAACACUCAAAACUAAGGAUAGAUGUGAAUCUAACGAUAUACCUAAAGCUUUGAUUACCACUUGAUGAGAACAAGGGUGGCCUGAUCUUUCGAAAGGUUCUAGUAACUCUCGAUUUGGUGGAGACGAGACACAAAUCGAUUUGGCUUUCGAACAACACGAUAAGAAACCCUGCAUUUUUUUUAUUUUUUUUAUAUUUUUCUUUUACCUAGGAGCACUAAAAAGUAACCAAAAAAAAUUUGUGCUUAAACAAGUGAAAGACGUGGCCUGCAGAAUUUUCUGAAGAUUGCGAAAAAUGUGAAAAAAACUUCAUGAGGAGAAAACUCAAACUUUGGAGGCAAAUUUCAAGAUAAAAUUAUCGAACCCGCUAAAGUCACAGACAGACAGAUCUAAAAUUUUUUUAUGAUCGAAUUUGAUAUAGGUAACGUUGAAAUCAGAGUUUGUAUGUGAAAGUUAUGGUUUGUUUACAAAUGCACUCCGAAAUAGAGGAAAAACGGUCCAGAAGUGGGAAAAAUUUGCGGCGCUGGCUAGAAAUUGAUGAAAAUAGUGGGGAAAAACACACGAACAGGACUCUAACAAGACCCAACCAGCAACAAGACCUCGACCAGGACACAAACUCAACACUGCGGACUCUGAAACUGAAAUAUGCAAAGGCUACGGCGCGGAAGGGAUGUAGGACAAGAAAACGAUAUGGCACUAGACUUAUGGGACGAACACAAGAACACUCGAAACUAAGGGUAGAUGUGAACCUAACGGUAUACCUGAAGCUUUGAUUACCACUUGAUGAGAACAAGGGUGGCCCGAUCUUCCGAAAGGUUCUGGUAACUCUCGAUUUAGUGGAGACGAGACACAAAUCGAUCCGGCUUCAGAACAACACGAUCCAAAACCCUACAAUUUUUUUUAUUUUUUUUGAUAUUUUAUUUUACUUAGGAGCACUAAAGAAGUAACCACAGAAAAUUUGAGCUUAAACAAGUGAAAGACAUGGCCUGCGGAAUUUUCUGAAGAUUGCGAAAAAUGUGAAAAAAACUUCACGAGGUUAAAACUCAAACUUCGGAGGCGAAUUUGGAGAUUCUAAAAUUUUCAAGCCCGCUAGUACUAGGG